rnacentral:rRNA from 1 species
UACAGAGGUGGCAAGCGUUGUUCGGAAUUACUGGGCGUAAAGGGCGCGUAGGCGGUUUGUCAAGUCCCGUGUGAAAGCCCUCGGCUCAACCGAGGAACGGCGCGGGAAACUAGCAGGCUUGAGUUCGGGAGAGGGAAGCGGAAUUCCGGGUGUAGCGGUGAAAUGCGCAGAUAUCCGGAGGAACACCGGUGGCGAAGGCGGCUUCCUGGACCGACACUGACGCUGAGGCGCGAAAGCUAGGGGAGCAAACGGG